ACUCCUACGGGAGGCAGCAGUGGGGAAUAUUGCACAAUGGGGGAAACCCUGAUGCAGCCAUGCCGCGUGUGUGAAGAAGGCCUUGGGUUGUAAAGCACUUUCAGUAGGGAGGAAGGUAGUGUAGUUAACACCUGCAUUAUUUGACGUUACCUACAGAAGAAGCACCGGCUAACUCCGUGCCAGCAGCCGCGGUAAGUACGGAGGGUGCGAGCGUUAAUCGGAAUUACUGGGCGUAAAGCGCAUGCAGGCGGCCUGUUAAGUCAGAUGUGAAAGCCCGGGGUCUUAACCUCGGAAUUGCAUUUGAAACUGGCAGGCUAGAGUCUUGGUAGAGGGGGUUAGAAUUUCAGGUGUAGCGGUGAAAUGCGUAGAGAUCUGAAGGAAUACCGAGUGGCGAAGGCGGCCCCUGGACAAAGACUGACGCUCAGAUGCGAAAGCGUGGGAGCAAACAGGAUUAGAUACCCCUGGUAGACUGUCA
rnacentral:rRNA from 1 species